rnacentral:rRNA from 1 species
AAACUUUCAACAACGGAUCUCUUGGUUCUCGCAUCGAUGAAGAGCGCAGCGAAAUGCGAUACCUAGUGUGAAUUGCAGCCAUCGUGAAUCAUCGAGUUCUUGAACGCACAUUGCGCCCGUCGGCAUUCCGGCGGGCAUGCCUGUUUGAGCGUCGUUU